rnacentral:rRNA from 1 species
AGGUCCAGCCUGCCCGGUGACAAAGUUUAACGGCCUCGGUACCCUGACCGCGCGAAGGUAGCAUAAUCACUUGUUCUUUAAAUAGGGACCUGUAUCAACGGCAUCACGAGGGCUGAACUGUCUCCUCUCUCCAAUCAGUGAACCUAACCUCUUCGUGAAGAGGCGAAGAUUUAAAUAUAAGACGAGAAGACCCCAUGGAGCUUUAAACCAAAUAACACCCUCUUUAAUAUACACCCUAAGAAAUAAGAAGCCUGUUAGCUAGUUUUCGGCUGGGGCAUCCGGGGAGUAAAACCCAACCUCCCUGACAAACCAUCACAGAGCUACCACUCUAAGAGACAGCAAGCUGUAGUAACAUGACCCGUCUAUCGACCAACGAACCAAGUUACCCUGGGGAUAACAGCGCAAUCCAUUUCGAGAGCCCCUAUCGACAAAUGGGUUUACGACCUCGAUGUUGGAUCAGGGGUAUCCCAGUGGUGCAGCCGCUACUAAAGGUUCGUUUGUGCAACGAUUAAAACCCUACGUGAUCUGAGUUAGGCCCGGA